UACAGAGGGUGCAAGCGUUAAUCGGAAUUACUGGGCGUAAAGGGCGCGUAGGGGGUUGCGUAAGUGGAAUGUGAAAUCCCCGGGCUUAACCUGGGAACUGCAUUUUAGACUGCGUAGCUGGAGUGCGAUAGAGGGUAGUGGAAUUUCCGGUGUAGCGGUGAAAUGCGUAGAUAUCGGAAGGAACACCAGUGGCGAAGGCGGCUACCUGGAUCGACACUGACACUGAGGCGCGAGAGCGUGGGGAGCAAACAGG
rnacentral:rRNA from 1 species